UGUCUUCCUACAACAAUCUGAUGCGCCUAAUGUACAGUACUCGUACUAUUUAACUGAUAUCAGCAAUUACGUAUCUGAUGACAGCAUCAAGCGCGAUAAUAAGUAACAUAAUCCAUACUCUAGUAUUACUAAACCUUAAGGUUUAGUAAUAUCAUGCGUAGUUAUAUCACAAAUGGGAAACACCUUGUUUAAUUCAGUCCGUUUCGACGGCUACGCUCGGCGCAUCUGAAAAAGGUUUAUUCGUUGGAUACUGUUUACACGAAAACAGCGUACGGCACGAAUGCCACAGAAUAGAAGCCAAGACCGACAUUGUACGAGCGCAUCCACUCCCGAACAUCAUAAUGAGAUUCCGCUGUCGAGAACAGCUCAAAAAGAGUGUAAUUUGCUCUGUCUAAGUUGACCUUCGCCCAUCGUUGUAAAACUUCGAAGCGGCUGGAAAACGAUCAGAUUACAAUGUAAUUUUGCGUUUCGCUCGUGUUGUACUCUUAAGGAGGAAGUCACAAUACAGCAACAAGCGCAGAGAUAUUACUAGUACUGCUGCGGUACAAUCGCCCUGCUGUCAUCGUCAGUGUGUUGUUAAGGAGCUGUACAGUACGUACCAUACACAUGCCUAAUCCGCAAGCACAGCAGACUGGACAAUCAUGAUGUGUCAAAUCUUCGCAGCCAAAUGUUAAUGGAAUAGCACGAUACGAAACCAAUCCCCAAGAAUGAUCACCCACUUGUUUUGCGAUUGUGAGGUUUUGCGAUUGUGAGGUUGCGAUUGGGAGAAAUGAUAUCUAUGGGCAAUUCCCUCUCUGGAAUAGCCUUCUGCUCUUAAUGCUGUACGCAGUCGUGCAGUUCUGUUAAAAGAUGGCGGAGCAAAUAAGACGACAUUCUUUGGCAGCUAAGAGUCGUGAUUCCAGGCCGUCUGCACGCCGUAUCAGUCAAACCCGGGUUACCUCCGUUCAGUGCUGAGCGUGAGGCAGUGGAAUUCUUUUAUCGGCGAGAACGCACUGCUCCCUCACUGCCUAAGCGAA